rnacentral:rRNA from 1 species
GCACUUUAAACAAACGGAUAGCAACCUUUCCAGAGAAUCAAGUCAUAUUACAAAACACGUGGUCGUAGUGGCUGAGCAAGCAACUAAAAAGAAAGCGUUAAAGCUCAGGUAAGAAAGAAAAUUCAUAAUUCUGAACAAUAAAUAAUCUUACUUCCUAAAAAAUACCAGACUAAUCCAUACAAAUAUGGAAGAAAUUAUGCUAAAAUGAGUAACAAGAAGAACCUGUACUUCUCCAAGCACAAGUGUAAGCCAAGUUGGACAAACCAUUGGCAAUUAACGAGCCCAAACAAAGAGGGCAAUGUGAGUUAAAAACUGAGAAAAAUCCACAACAGACAUCGUUACCCCCACACUGGAGUGCAUAUAAGGAAAGACUAAAAGAAAGGGAAGGAACUCGGCAAACACAAGCCUCGCCUGUUUACCAAAAACAUCGCCUCCUGACAUCCCAAUAUAGGAGGUCCAGCCUGCCCAGUGACAAUAGUUUAACGGCCGCGGUAUUUUGACCGUGCAAAGGUAGCGCAAUCACUCGUCCUUUAAAUAGGGACCUGUAUGAAUGGCCAAACGAGGGCUUAACUGUCUCCCCCAUCAAGUCAGUGAAAUUGAUCUAUCCGUGCAGAAGCGGAUAUAAUAAUACAAGACGAGAAGACCCUUUGGAGCUUAAGGUACAAGAUUUAAUUUACAUCAAGCAAACCAAUAAAAGUGAUUAAACUAGUAAAAGAUAAACCUCUACCUUCGGUUGGGGCGACCACGGAGUAAAAAACAACCUCCAAGCGGAACGGGCACAGCCCUAAAACCAAGAGAAACAUCUCUAAGCCUCAGAACACCUGACCAAAGACGAUCCGGCCUAUAAGCCGAUCAACGAACCAAGUUACCCUAGGGAUAACAGCGCAAUCCUCUCUAAGAGUCCAUAUCGACGAGGGGGUUUACGACCUCGAUGUUGGAUCAGGACAUCCUAAUGGUGCAGCCGCUAUAAGGUCGAGUCACGUAAU